rnacentral:rRNA from 1 species
UACAUGAAGCCGGAAUCGCUAGUAAUCGCGGAUCAGAAUGCCGCGGUGAAUACGUUCCCGGGUCUUGUACACACCGCCCGUCACACCAUGGGAGUCGGAAAUGCCCGAAGUCUGUGACCCAACCGCAAGGAGGGAGCAGCCAAGGCAGGUCGGAUGACUGGGGUNAAGUCGUAACAAGGUAAC